CGUAGGGGGCGAGCGUUAUCCGGAAUCAUUGGGCGUAAAGGGCGCGUAGGCGGAUAUUUAAGUCAGGUGUGAAAACCCAGGGCUCAACCUUGGGAUUGCAUCUGAUACUGGGUAUCUUGAGGACAGGAGAGGAAAGUGGAAUUCCUAGUGUAGCGGUGAAAUGCGUAGAUAUUAGGAGGAACACCAGUGGCGAAGGCGACUUUCUGGACUGUAACUGACGCUGAGGCGCGAAAGCGUGGGGAGCAAACAGGAUUAGAUACCCUGGUAGUCCACGCCGUAAACGAUGAGUGCUAGGUGUAGGGGGUAUCGACCCCUCCUGUGCCGCAGUUAACACAAUAAGCACUCCGCCUGGGGAGUACGGCCGCAAGGUUG
rnacentral:rRNA from 1 species